rnacentral:tRNA from 1 species
GCUUCUCUAGCUCACUGGUAGAGCGUCCCCACGACUCGGGGAGGGUGCAUGGUCCGAUUCCAUGGGGAAGCA